AUUUCUGCGCGACUAAUGAAUAGAGUAAGGAACGACAAACCAAUCUUCGUCUGUAUUAAAUAAACAGCAUUAGUGCGAUUGAGAAGUUGAGAAAAUAAGUUAUUUAUAGUUUCCAAAUCAAGUUCAUUAACAAUAGUGAGCAAUGGAGGGAUGAUGAACUGCGUGAAAGAACUCAUUUCGGAAACAACGUCCAAAGGCAGCUCACCGUUAACGUCAAAUGUUCCCCUAAGGACUAUAUCAAGAGAAUCAAAAUUGUAAACUACGACCUUUAAAAUCGAAAUUUGUUGCUCUUUGGACAAAUGUGGGAACAAGCGAGGUAGCAGCCUCAUUCCUUUGGGGUGAGAAAUUA